rnacentral:rRNA from 1 species
CAGGCAUUAUGAGGUGUAGCGUAUAAGUCGUAAACUUUGAUCUUUUGUCUCAAACAAGUCCCCUUGACAGAGGUUCCACAGAAGGUGCAAGUCCUGUACGUUGAGAUAAUUGAUCGAUAUUUGCGUGCUUUAGAGUCGGGUUGUUUGGGAUCGCAGCCCAAAGUCGGUGGUAAACUUCAUCUAAGACUUAAUAUUGCCACGAGACCGAUAGCAAACAAGUACUGUGAAGGAAAGUUGCAAAGCACUUUGAAGAGAGAGUUAAAGAGGACGUGAAACCGGUAAGGUGGAAACGGAUAGAGUCGGCGUAUCAUUCAAUUAUUCAGUUACAUUAUUUUUAUGUUGUGACCUCUGAGCUCCAGAUUGGGACAGAGGGAAUCAGCAUAAUUUUUUGUGGUGCAUUUACUUGAUUGGUGCUUGGGGAUGUUUGAGGCAGAUUUGUUUCCGUCGUUUUGAGGCCAGCUUGCUGGUACCCAAACGGUGUUAGCAUUUUUUGUCUUGGGCAUUUGAGUAUGGCUCACGUGUAUUUAUUGGACAGAUCUGAGUGUAAGUUACGGUCGCAUGCGACACGUGCUUUUCAAUUAGUUCGGUCCAGUUAAUGCUCUCGUACUCGUUCCCCAUGUAAAAGCCGGUCAUCUAUCCGACCCGUCUUGAAACACGGACCAAGGAGUUUAUCGUGUGCGCAAGUUUUUGGGUGUUAAAAACUUAAAAGCGAAAUGAAAGUAAAUGACUCUUUAGAGUCUGAUGUGCGAUCUUGUAAAAAAGUGUAGCAUGGCCCCAUUCUAACUGUUUACAGUAGGGUGGCGGAAGAGCGUACGCGGUGAGACCCGAAAG